rnacentral:lncRNA from 1 species
CGCAGCGACUCAUCACUUAAGUUGCGUUUUGUUUCAUCAUGGGCCUUCGUGUUUUUAUGAGCCCUUCUAUCCACUUCGUAUUGUUUUUUUCUUGAAACCUCCGUUGAAUAAAUAAAUUAUGUGGAUGUGACAUGUGGCACUAUGGUUUUCUUUCUUCGUUCAUAUCGUCGAUGGCCCCCUUAAAUCAUCUCAUUAAAUUAUUUAUUCCUCUUUAAAUCCAAUCCACACCCCACUACGUUACAAUAAAUUCACCCAAGCCUCCUCCUAUUAUUUACUCCUAUAAAUAGGAAUAUCGAUUUUGAUAAUUCUCAUCACUUCAUCCAAAUCAUUUCUAUCUCUUGCUUCCAAACUACUGCGCUUCAACGUACCAGAGAUUUUCCAAUACACGAAUCAAGGUUCGAUUAGGUGGGUUUAGAACCCGAAACCAUGAAUGGACGCGUUGAUGUGGCCAUGUGGGAGUUUGAGAGAAACAGAGACUCUAAUCGCUGAGACAUGAGAUAAGAAGCCACUAUCCGAUGGUGAGCGGCUUGAAACUGAGAUAAAUGGUAGAAAUCUUUUCAUUUGUGAAAGUCACAUCCAGUCUGGUGUAGUUUUGUGUAUUAAUACUGCCAUGGUGAAGCAUCUCAGGAAACAAAAAUAAGAAGGACAAGAAGAAGAUAAUCAAUCGUUUACAGAGACAAAAAAAUAUAAAAGAUGAAGAGGCGUGGAAUCUUAUAUAAUAAAUAGAAAAAUAUCUAUAAUUUUGAUUUUACCCCUAAAAAAAUUGAAUUUUUUAAGAGAAUUCGAAAAGUCAAUGAGAGAGAGCGAGAAAGUCGAAAGACAUGACUAGGAGAAAUAAUAGAAAAAUGUUUUUAUUAAAAUGGUGACGUGAGGAGAAGAGUGAUCACAGAUUCACAACUGUAGACAUUCACAUGCCACAUUGGUAUCCUCUUGCUUUAGUUUGAUCCACAAAAUUACAAUGGUACCAUCUUUAUGUGUCUUUAGUGUUUAGUUUGAUUUCAAUUGCAAUUCAAAUAAAACAAAUGCUUUCAAAAAAGAAACUGUCCGAACAUAUAGUAGGAUGUAUUAGUUGAUAAAAAAAAAGUGAGAUUUAUUAAUAUAGCUAUUUUACAAAAAAAAUAAGAAUUACAUGUAAAAGUAAAUGCAAAAAUUAAAAAUUAUUAUUAACAAAAAUUAGCUAAACAGAGAUCACAUUCAAAUAAAAUAAAUGCUUUCAAGAAAAAAACUGUCAAACAUGUAGUAGGAUGUAUUAGUUGAUAAAAAAAAGUGGAAUGUAUUAAUAUAGCUAUUUUAGAAAAAAAAAGAAUUACAUGUAAAAUUAAAUGCAUAAAUUAAAAAAUAAUAAAUACUUAAUUACAAUUAAUGUAUUAAUAUAGCAAUUUUACAAAAAAAAAUAUAAGAAUUACAUGUAAAAUUAAAUGCAGAAAUUAAAAAAAUAGCUAAACAGAGAUCACAUUCAAAUAAAACAAAUGCUUUCAAGAAAGAAACUGUCCGAACAUAUAGUAGGAUGUAUUAGUUGAUAAAAAGUGGGAUGUAUUAAUAUAGCUAUUUUACAAAAAAAAAAUAAGAAUUAUAUGUAAAAUUAAAUGCAGAAAUUAAAAAAUAUUAUUAACAAAAAUUAGCUAAACAGAGAUCACAUUCAAAUAAAACAAAUGCUUUCAAGAAAGAAACUGUCCGAACAUAUAGUAGGAUGUAUUAGUUGAUAAAAAAGUGGGAUGUGUUAAUAUAGCUAUUUUACAAAAAAAAAAAAGAACUACAUGUAAAGUUAAAUGCAGAAAUUAAAAAUAAUAAAUACUUAAUUACAAUUAAUGUCUUAAAAUAUACUCAUAUUAGAUAAUAAAUGGAAUCUAAAACACAUAAAAUUAACAAAUAUUAACGUUGAACUAAAUAAUUUAACAAAAUGAGAAGCAGCUUUUUUCGAACUGAAAUCAACUGAAAACGUAAUCUACUCAAACCCUAAUGGAAGCUAUUUAUAAAACUGAAAACAUUUAAUUAUAGAGAAUACAGAAACAAAUCGAAUGCAUUUGUAUAAGUAUACGAUAAACACCAUUUUCAUAUACUAAGAAGAUAAAAUAAGGAGUUCAAAAAAAAAAGAUGAAACAAGAAGAAUCUCAAUUUGAGUGAAUGCUUUGACGAAUCUAAUUAAAAAAAAACAUAUGCAUUUUUUUUUUGAAGUGAUAAGAGCUUAGAGAGCCUUCCCUAAAUCACUAUGAAAAUAUUUCUCUAUCCAAAACGGUCAUGUUUUGAGAUGGACGCACAUUCUAAAUAAUAACUCAUUCUAGGUGAAACCAUAAUAAAAUGUAUUCAUAUGACACCCUACAAUGAGAGAGCUGCAACUACUUUUUUAUUGAUCAAAAACAAAAAUA